UACGAAGGGGGCUAGCGUUGCUCGGAAUCACUGGGCGUAAAGCGCACGUAGGCGGUCUCUUAAGUCGGUGGUGAAAUCCUGGAGCUCAACUCCAGAACUGCCUUCGAUACUGAGAGUCUCGAGUCCGGGAGAGGUGAGUGGAACUGCGAGUGUAGAGGUGAAAUUCGUAGAUAUUCGCAAGAACACCAGUGGCGAAGGCGACUCACUGGCCCGGUACUGACGCUGAGGUGCGAAAGCGUGGGGAGCAAACAGG
rnacentral:rRNA from 1 species